rnacentral:rRNA from 1 species
AUUGAACGCUGGCGGCAGGCCUAACACAUGCAAGUCGAACGAGUGGCGGACGGGUGAGUAAUGUCUGGGAAACUGCCUGAUGGAGGGGGAUAACUACUGGAAACGGUAGCUAAUACCGCAUACCCUCAGAUGUGCCCAGAUGGGAUUAGCUAGUUGGUGGGGUAACGGCUAACCAAGGCGACGAUCCCUAGCUGGUCUGAGAGGAUGACCAGCAACAGUGGAACUGAGAAAGGGUCCAGCCUCCUCCGGGAGGCGGCAUGGGGGAAUAUUGCAAAAUGGGGGCAAGCCGGAUGCAGCAAUGCCGCGUGUAUGAAGAAGGCCUUCGGGUUGUAAAGUCCUUUCAGCGGGGAGGCGUUACCCGCAGAAGAAGCACCGGCUAACUCCGUGCCAGCAGCCGCGGUAAUUC